UACAGAGGGUGCAAGCGUUGUUCGGAAUUACUGGGCGUAAAGCGCGUGUAGGCUGCGAUGUAAGUCAGGCGUGAAAGCCCUCAGCUUAACUGAGGAAGUGCACUUGAUACUGCAUCGCUCGAGUGUCGGAGGGGGUGGCGGAAUUCCCGGUGUAGAGGUGAAAUUCGUAGAUAUCGGGAGGAACACCUGUGGCGAAGGCGGCCACCUGGACGACAACUGACGCUGAGGCGCGAAAGCGUGGGGAGCAAACAGG
rnacentral:rRNA from 1 species